AGGGAUGUAGCUCAGUUGGUAGAGAGCUUGCCUGGCAAUCAUGAAGCCUUGGGUUUGACUCCUAGAACCUCAU
rnacentral:tRNA from 1 species